UGGGGAAUAUUGCACAAUGGGGGAAACCCUGAUGCAGCAACGCCGCGUGAGUGACGAAGGCCUUCGGGUUGUAAAACUCUGUCUUAGCUGACGAUAAUGACGGUAAGCUAGGAGGAAGCCACGGCUAACUACGUGCCAGCAGCCGCGGUAAUACGUAGGUGGCGAGCGUUGUCCGGAUUUACUGGGCGUAAAGGGAGCGUAGGUGGUUUUUUAAGUGGGAUGUGAAAUCCCUGGGCUUAACCCAGGAAUUGCAUUCCAAACUGGAAGACUAGAGUGCAGGAGAGGAAAGUGGAAUUCCAAGUGUAGCGGUGAAAUGCGUAGAGAUUUGGAGGAACCCCAGUGGCGAAGGCGACUUUCUGGACUGUAACUGACACUGAGGCUCGAGAGCGUGGGGAGCAAACAGG
rnacentral:rRNA from 1 species